GUAGGUGAACCUGCGGAAGGAUCAUUACAGAGAGGAGUUUCGUGCUCCCGGGGGCUUCGGCCCCCACCUCUUCACCCGUGCCAAUCUACCUCUUGUUGCUUUGGUGGGCUUUGGGCUUUGCCCAUGCCGGUCCGCCGGAGAGCGCCCGCCAGGAGCCCCCUCGAAACCUUCUGCCAUCAGUGAAGUCAGAGUGAUUACCAAUAAACAAAACUUUCAACAACGGAUCUCUUGGUUCUG
rnacentral:misc_RNA from 1 species